rnacentral:tRNA from 1 species
AGGUGGGUAGCCAAGUAGUAAGGCAGUUGAUUUAUUCCUUUUCACUUAACUUGCCCGUCAGGGACGACAGAUGAGGAUUAUCGUGGUUCAACCAUUCGCGGGUGCAAAUCCCGCUCCACCUA